rnacentral:misc_RNA from 1 species
AAAAAUAUAGAAUUCAUUUUCUGUAAACCCAAUCUGCGUACUUGUACCUGUUGCUUCCGCGAGCCAGUGGACGUAUAUGUAUGAAAAUACGUAUAAGUUCACUCUCUGGUGUCAUUCCGUGGAAUGACUGUACCACCGAGUGCUCGCGGGAGGUCUUCAUAAACUCUGUUUUUUUGAACUCAGUCUGAAUAUUACUAUAAUAAGUCA